UCUUGAGUUCGAUACUUGGGACCAUAUGGUUGGGAGAAGAGGCUCCUAUUUAACUUACCUUUCGGUGAAGGCCUGGUGGCGGAGCCCGCAACCUGGUUACAGAUCAAUAUUUCCUUUCCAGCCGGGUCAGCUAUGGCUUAAGUCAAACAUUCUAGGUCAAGUGGGUUCCCAACUUGAUCGGGGUUCGCUACCCUGGUUCAAUCCAACCUACCCUUUUCGGCUUAGCGUAAAGAAAAAUCACCCAAAACCACACAAGGAUCCACUUCCAAAGAACAUUGCAACUCCAUACUUCAGGAUUUUCCUUUUCUUCAAACUGACUUUAACAUAUUUCAGUCACAUGGAUGAGUCAGAUUCAGUUCUGGUCAACUUCUCAAACUUGGGAUUCUGCCAAUGAUAUCAGUAAUAUUCUUCUUCGUCAUCAAACCAAUCUAUUUAAGAGGAAUCAGAUCUGCUGAUUGCUGAAUAAAAUCCAGCACUGGCUUUUGGUAUUUCAGAGCUGUCUCUAGCUGGCAACCCAACCAACAUUCCCUCAGUGUUUUCUUGUUGCUCUUCUUUCGUUUGUAACUUGUGUACGGGUUAGCUUAUGUGCUCCUCGACUAAUCUCUAAAAAACCAAUUCCGCUGUUUAGUAUUUGGGAGCCCCAAUUAAAGCUGGGCAAAGUCCCGUAUGGACUAACCCCACAAAAAUUAUGAUAAUUGCAAGAUUUCAAACUUUAGUCCUCGGGAGAGAGCAAACACCUACAAACUUGGACCACCAGACGAAUCCGGGGGGGGGGGGGGGGUUUCAGUCUAGUUCAUUUGAUGGAUAUUCUUGUGUCUUAUAGGUGAUUAGUGGCAGUUGCUUCCAAUGGUUUAAAUCCCACUUCUGCUUUGACCUAUUUAAGCAAAACACCAUUGAUGAACCACGGAGGUGGAAGUUCAAGUGGUUGGAGCAGGUAACAUAAGGUUGCUCCUCUUCCACUAGUCUUGAGUUCGAUACUUAGGACCAGAUGGUUGGGAAAGGAGGCUCCAAUGUAACUAGCAUUUUCGGUGGGGCCUAGUGACAGAGCCCGCAACAUGGUGAUGGAUCAAUAUUUCCUCUCCGGCCGGGUCAGCUACGGCUUAAGUCCGAACAUUUUAGGUUGGGUGAGUUUCCCAGUUUAUCGUGAGGUCAUCACGCCGGUUCAAUUCAGCCCACCCGUUUGAGUAGGAAAAAAAAAAAAACACCGUUGAUGAAGUCAAAAGUGAAAAGUUACUGUGACCGUACCCAAGUUGCAGUGAAAAAAAUGUAAAGACAGGUGGAAUUAAUCCCACAUUGGUACAACUACUCUCCAACUACUGGAAUGGAAAAUUCACAAGGUCAUUGCCUAAUAAUCUGACUUUGAUUAUACUAAGCAAUAUACUUAUUCACACAUAACCAACAGAUAUGAUUGUAUAGAGCUUUGCAUUCUGAUAACAUGGCCAGCUAAGUUGUUAGAGGUCUUCCUUCCUCUCCAGCUAUCUCAGGUUACAACACAUAAAACCCCAUUAGCUGAACACUCCGAAAUCGUCAGCCGUACUUUUUUCUGCAACAAAAUGAACGGGAGAACAACGGUUUUGAUACUGUUCUUCUGGGCUGUCCUCACCAUUGUCACGCCUAUUCUUGUUCGCUUGUCAGCUUCAGCAGCAAAACCCGCAAUGUAUUUUGAGGGUGAGAUGAUCGAAAGAACAAAGGCUGGACUAAAGACAUGGUUACCCAGAAGAGCGCUUGUAGCCACAGCACCACCACAGCCACCACCUCUGCCUCUUGCACCGACAACAGCACCCCAAAUGGCACCGCAGUUUGGAAUCAAGAAGGUUACCACAGAUGACAACCGGGGUUCUUAUCACUCGUGAUUGUACAUAGUAUGUUAUUCACAGACACAGCAAAAUGAUUAAUUGCAUUAGUUCCCAAUAAGAGGCAGAAUCAGGCAUAUUGUUGGCCAACAAAUCAACUAAUAGGGAACAACUUGUACAAAUUGCAUAAAGCUUCUGUAUAAAUUCAUUCAUGCCUGGUGUUUUUAACCUUCUA